GAUGAAGAACGCAGCGAAAUGCGAUAAGUAAUGUGAAUUGCAGAAUUCAGUGAAUCAUCGAAUCUUUGAACGCACAUUGCGCCCGCCAGUAUUCUGGCGGGCAUGCCUGUUCGAGCGUCAUUACAACCCUCAGGCCCCCGGGCCUGGCGUUGGGGAUCGGCGGAGCCCCCCGUGGGCACACGCCGUCCCCCAAAUACAGUGGCGGUCCCGCCGCAGCUUCCAUCGCGUAGUAGCUAACACCUCGCGACUGGAGAGCGGCGCGGCCACGCCGUAAAACACCCAACUCUUCUGAAGUUGACCUCGAAUCAGGUAGGAAUAUCCGCUGAACUUAAGCAUAUCAAUAAGCGGAGGA
rnacentral:misc_RNA from 1 species